AGUCGAACGGCAGCACGGAGCUUGCUCUGGUGGCGAGUGGCGAACGGGUGAGUAAUAUAUCGGAACGUACCCUGGAGUGGGGGAUAACGUAGCGAAAGUUACGCUAAUACCGCAUACGAUCUAAGGAUGAAAGUGGGGGAUCGCAAGACCUCAUGCUCGUGGAGCGGCCGAUAUCUGAUUAGCUAGUUGGUAGGGUAAAAGCCUACCAAGGCAUCGAUCAGUAGCUGGUCUGAGAGGACGACCAGCCACACUGGAACUGAGACACGGUCCAGACUCCUACGGGAGGCAGCAGUGGGGAAUUUUGGACAAUGGGCGAAAGCCUGAUCCAGCAAUGCCGCGUGAGUGAAGAAGGCCUUCGGGUUGUAAAGCUCUUUUGUCAGGGAAGAAACGGUGAAGGCUAAUAUCCUUUGCUAAUGACGGUACCUGAAGAAUAAGCACCGGCUAACUACGUGCCAGCAGCCGCGGUAAUACGUAGGGUGCAAGCGUUAAUCGGAAUUACUGGGCGUAAAGCGUGCGCAGGCGGUUUUGUAAGUCUGAUGUGAAAUCCCCGGGCUCAACCUGGGAAUUGCAUUGGAGACUGCAAGGCUAGAAUCUGGCAGAGGGGGGUAGAAUUCCACGUGUAGCAGUGAAAUGCGUAGAU
rnacentral:rRNA from 1 species